UACGUAGGGUGCGAGCGUUGUCCGGAAUUAUUGGGCGUAAAGAGCUUGUAGGCGGUUUGUCGCGUCUGCUGUGAAAAUCCGGGGCUCAACCCCGGACUUGCAGUGGGUACGGGCAGGCUAGAGUGUGGUAGGGGAGACUGGAAUUCCUGGUGUAGCGGUGAAAUGCGUAGAUAUCGAGAGGAACACCUGCGGCGAAGGCGGGUUGCUGGGCUGACACUGACGCUGAGGCGCGAAAGCCAGGGGAGCAAACGGG
rnacentral:rRNA from 1 species